ensembl:lncRNA
AUGGAAAAAAAUGUUUUAUUUUCUCCUUCCCAGAACAUUGAAGUAAUGUUUGAAGACUAUGGCAUAAGGCUGCCCUUGCUGAAGGCACUGAUUGACAGGCUGCUGCAGGACGGCAUGGAGGAGCUUCUGCAGGAGCUAACCACCUCUAGAAGAGUCAAUGAGAAGGAGAAACACGGCUCCAACAUUAUCACUGACUACACAAGAACUGUAAAGUAUGAGAUCUCCAAGGAGCCUCUGACAGAGAUGGACACCAUAGAGGAGGCAGUUGACUCUGACCUAGACAGACAGCUACCAGAACCUAACUCUGAUGCUUUGAAUGAAACGGCGGAGGGCCCCACAUUCUGGAGCCUCACCCCUCUUAAUGGUCUUAAUGGGGUCCAAGACGUGGGGAGGAUAGAGAGCACCUCUAAGGGGAUAGAGGGGACACUGACAGUAGACGAGGACUUCAGUGAAGCUCCCUCCCCCAAGUUGGCUUUAUCAAACUCAACAUUUAACAAGACAACGUCUGAAGAGAGGGUCUCUGAGGUACCAGGGACAAUAGUAGAAACUGUUCUCCUCAGUGGGGAAGACUCCUUGAAGAAAAAGAAGAGUCGGGAACGGAAGGGCAAGGGACAGAAAGGACGACAUAAGAGGCAAAGACAACGCCUGACGAGUACAGAGGAGGAAGAGGAAGCGGAGGAGGAGGAAUUAUACGAUGGGGAUGAGUACAGUUAUGAAUAUGAGGAUUCCACAGAUGAUCCCUCACUGUCAAUUGAAAAGCAAGGGGAGUUUGAAAUCACAACAGAAAGCACACUACAUGGAAUGAGCAAAGAGAGUGGCCUGACAACUUUAGGUCCAUAUCCAUCCCAGUCACCGGGAGACAGUGAAAAGCAGGGGGAAUUCAUCACACCUGUCCUUCCCAGCACAACGGAAGAAACAGAGAAGGUAAGUCUGUGA